rnacentral:rRNA from 1 species
GACGUAGGGCGCGAGCGUUGUCCGGAUUUAUUGGGCGUAAAGAGCUCGUAGGCGGCUUGUCGCGUCGUCCGUGAAAACUUGGGGCUCAACCCCAAGCUUGCGGUCGAUACGGGCAGGCUAGAGUUCGGUAGGGGAGACUGGAAUUCCUGGUGUAGCGGUGAAAUGACGCAGAUAUCAGGAGGAACACCGGUGGCGAAGGCGGGUCUCUGGGCCGAUACUGACGCUGAGGAGCGAAAGCGUGGGGAGCGAACAGG